CGUUGUCCCAAAAGCAUUAAAGACUUGAUAGUGAGAUCCGAUAUAUCCUCUAAACAAGACUCUUCGUCAUCUCCUGAAGUGUAAAUGGAAAACACAGUAUGUGCGUGAGUCCAAACAACAAUUUCACAAGCGUAUGAACGGUCAUCGUAGUGACUAUCAAUGAAAUAAAGACAAUUCGUGUAGUAGUAUACCGCUGUUCAAUAGUCAUAAAUCGAAUAAACUGAAACAAAUCCGGG
rnacentral:lncRNA from 1 species